rnacentral:rRNA from 1 species
CCUACGGGGGGCAGCAGUCGAGAAUCAUUCACAAUGGGGGAAACCCUGAUGGUGCGACGCCGCGUGGGGGAAUGAAGGUCUUCGGAUUGUAAACCCCUGUCAUGUGGGAGCAAAUUAAAAAGAUAGUACCACAAGAGGAAGAGACGGCUAACUCUGGGCCAGCAGCCGCGGUAAUACAGAGGUCUCAAGCGUUGUUCGGAAUCACUGGGCGUAAAGCGUGCGUAGGCUGUUUCGUAAGUCGUGUGUGAAAGGCGCGGGCUCAACCCGCGGACGGCACAUGAUACUGCGAGACUAGAGUAAGGGAAGGGGAACCGGAAUGCUCGGUGUAGCAGUGAAAUGCGUAGAUAUCGAGAGGAACACUCGUGGCGAAGGCGGGUUCCUGGACAUUAACUGACGCUGAGGCACGAAGGCCAGGGGAGCGAAAGGGAUUAGAUACCCGUGUAGUC